rnacentral:lncRNA from 1 species
GUCUAGUUCUGGGGCUGGGGUAGGUACUUCCCCUGACCCCGCUGGAACUAAGUGCCAUGGGCUGAGCCCUGAGCACCCUCUUUUUCCCAAUGGCAGGUCUGUGUUCAGCCGGCUAUUACUGCUCAGGAGGAGCUGCCGAUGCCGUUCCGCACAGGACACCCAGGCUCCCACUCAAUGGGCCCUGUCCACCUGGACACUACUGUCCGGGGGGCACUCAGUUCCCGGUCGCCUGCCCAGUGGGCACCCUGAAUAAUGCCACAGGGUCACUUCUGUUCCUCUGGGUCUGCCCAUCCAGCCCCCUGCCCCACCGGGGAAUACCAGCCAAACAGGGGUUCUGAGUCCUGCAUUCCUUGCCAACCAGGCUUCUACUGCCAAGAGGCAGUUGCAGGAGACCCCCAACCCUGCCCUCCACACACCUACUGUCCUGAAGGUACACUGGUUCCUUCUCCGUGUCCCGAUGGCACGUUCACCCCUCCAGAUAUGACUGGCCUCAGGGAGGAGAGAGAAUGCCUGGCCUGUUCACCCGGUCACUACUGCAGGGGCGGGCGGCUGGAGGGGAAGUGUGCUGCUGGGUACUUCUGCCAGGCCGGGAGUUCUGAGUCUACUCCCCAGGGCCAUGACUUUCCCUGGAGCUCCCUGACAGAAUGCCGCUGGGGGCAGGUGCGUGCGGGUCUCUGCCCAGCAGGUUUCUACUGCCAGGAAGGCUCCGAGGUGCCCACGCCAUGCCCCCCCAACACCAUUGGAGCUAUCCCAGGGGCAAGGCGGAGAGAAGACUGCCUGCCCUGUCCACCAGGCCACUGGUGUAAAGCAGGGGAUCCAGUGACCUAUCCGUGCCCCCCUGGACACUACUGUGGCAGCGUGAAUCUCACCGAGCCCAUCACUCUCUUGGCACCUCAGCAAUGCCCUGAGCACACUUACCGCACAGCUCCAGGGGCCCAGAGCCUGGCAGAUUGCCAGCCUUGCCCCCCAGGUUAUCUCUGCCAAACACCAGGUGAGCUGCCAGCUGAGGGCCAAAUAUUGCUGCCGUGGAAGUCAGAUGCAAAUCUCCCAU